UACGUAGGGUGCAAGCGUUAUCCGGAAUUACUGGGCGUAAAGAGCUCGUAGGUGGUUUGUCGCGUUGUUCGUGAAAACUCACAGCUCAACUGUGGGCGUGCGGGCGAUACGGGCAGACUGGAGUACUGCAGGGGAGACUGGAAUUCCUGGUGUAGCGGUGAAAUGCGCAGAUAUCAGGAGGAACACCGGUGGCGAAGGCGGGUCUCUGGGCAACUACUGACGCUGAGGAGCGAAAGCGUGGGGAGCGAACAGG
rnacentral:rRNA from 1 species